AACUCUCAACCCCCCUGUUUUGUAAUGAGACGGGCGUGGGCUUGGAUCGUGGCUGUUUGUCGGUCUCUCAUCGAGCCGGCUCAGCUGAAACACAUGAGCGACCAGAUUGAAUAAAUGACGGCUUGACUCGGCGUAAUAAUAUUACUCGCUGAGGACGUCUAAUUUCAAAUAGGCGCUUCUAAUGACUUAGCCCUUUUAAGC
rnacentral:misc_RNA from 1 species